rnacentral:rRNA from 1 species
AGUGAACGCUGGCGGCAGGCCUAACACAUGCAAGUCGAACGGUAGCACGAAAAGACCUGCUGCUUACCUGAGGAGAGUGGCGGAGGGGUGAGAAGUACAUCGAAAUCUCUGUUUGCGUGGGGGAAAUAGUAGAAAAACUAGCGCAUAUAGCGUAAAGGACCUACGGGUGAAAGGAGGGGCUCUUCGGACCUUGCGCGAGGGAAUGAGCCGAUGUCGGAUUAGCUAGUUGGCGGGGUAAAGGCACACCAAGGCGACGAUCCGUAGCUGGUCUGAGAGGAUGAUCAGCCACACUGGAACUGAGACACGGUCCAGACUCCUACGGGAGGCAGCAGUGGGGAAUAUUGGACAAUGGGAGCAAGCCUGAUGCAGCCAUACCGCGUGGAUGAAGAAGGCCUUCGGGUUGUAAAGCACUUUUAUCGGGAAAGAAAAGAGGAAGGUUAAUACCCCGGUGCUUUGACGGUACCCAAAGAAUAAGCACCGGCUAACUUCGUG